AUUGAACGCUGGCGGCAUGCCUUACACAUGCAAGUCGAACGGUAACAGGUCUUCGGAUGCUGACGAGUGGCGCACGGGUGAGUAAUACAUCGGAACGUGCCCGAUCGUGGGGGGUAACGAGGCGAAAGCUUUGCUAAUACCGCAUCCGAUCUACGGAUGAAAGCGGGGGAUCUUCGGACCUCGCGCGGACGGAGCGGCCGAUGGCGGAUUAGGUAGUUGGUGGGAUAAAAGCUUACCAAGCCGACGAUCUGUAGCUGGUCUGAGAGGAUGAUCAGCCACACUGGGACUGAGACACGGCCCAGACUCCUACGGGAGGCAGCAGUGGGGAAUUUUGGACAAUGGGCGAAAGCCUGAUCCAGCCAUGCCGCGUGCAGGAUGAAGGCCUUCGGGUUGUAAACUGCUUUUGUACGGAACGAAAAGCCUCUUUCUAAUAAAGAGGGGUCAUGACGGUACCGUAAGAAUAAGCACCGGCUAACUACGUG
rnacentral:rRNA from 1 species